AAAAAUAAAUCUUUACUACUGAAACCAGAUUUUUUCCCCCUUCUCUUCUCGCUGCUCGGCUGCUCCCCUUUUCUUCUGCAGAAGCCGUUUAUGGCGACGACUUGAUCAUCCUCAAGAGAUUUCCUCCAGACCUUCAUCUCCACAUCAAACCUCGUACCGCCGGUGUUUUAUUUGCUAUAUCUUCUUUUGGACGGCUUUUGCUGAUGGGGCUGGCGGUGGUGGUGGUUUGUCCAAGGAUUUUGGACGAUUUUUGCUGCUGGGGCUGGCGGUGGUGGUGGUUUUCGUUGCGGCUUUCUGGCCAGCAUCACGACCAGAUUCUUAGUGACAAAGAGACCAUCAAACUUCAGUCCAAGCAGUACCACUAACGAGUAGGAUCUAAAAUACAUUUUAAGGGACGAUUACGAGAUGUGCCAGGACGUAAAAUUCAAGGCUAGAGCUGAUUGCCUCAAGUUUGACGAACUUCAUACUGUAACUGUUACAACCACAUGACAUAGAGGAUGUCAGGUUUGUAUAUUUUUUCAGUGGACUCUAUCCCAAGUUUAUUUCAAAAAACUGGGACGUAUUCCUUUUCAGUCUCUCUUCAGGAUUCAAGACACGAACACUAGGUAAUUACCAGAUUGUUUUUUUGCGGCUUGGAAAUAUGGCUGCAUGUGGUGACCCUAUAUCCCGCCUUUGGAUUGGAAGUUGAUGAAGGAAGCAUUCAAGCUUCUUAGACCAGUGCUUGCUUCGAUAUGUGAUGCCAAAUUAUAAGGCUUUCUACAUCUUUCUCUCAUUGUUAGAGUGUUGAUGAAAAAUGUCAAAAAAAACGCACUUCCUCAAUGGAAAUCAAUUAAGUGCGCCCAACAAGAGGGUAGGGUCGAGUGUGGCUAUUACGUGAUGAAAUUCAUGCAUGACAUAUUCAAAAGUUGCAAGGAAGUUCAAGAUCUGGAAAAGGUUUUCAAAACUUCAAGUGAGGAGCCCUUUACCAAAAAGGAGUUGGGUGAGGUUCGAGACAAGUGGGCUAUUUACUUCAACGAUUGUGAACUACCCUCAGUGUAAUAAAUAGAGCAGAUUUGUAGUUAUUCGUGACUCUUACAUUAUUUUGUUAUUUAUCGAUUUAAUUAAUUACAUUUGAAUUAAUUCGGUAAUAUUAUUGGAAAUUUGAAAAUUA